GACGAACGCUGGCGGCGUGCUUAACACAUGCAAGUCGAACGGAAAGGCCCUGCUUUUGUGGGGUGCUCGAGUGGCGAACGGGUGAGUAACACGUGAGUAACCUGCCCUUGACUUUGGGAUAACUUCAGGAAACUGGGGCUAAUACCGGAUAGGAGCUCCUGCUGCAUGGUGGGGGUUGGAAAGUUUCGGCGGUUGGGGAUGGACUCGCGGCUUAUCAGCUUGUUGGUGGGGUAGUGGCUUACCAAGGCUUUGACGGGUAGCCGGCCUGAGAGGGUGACCGGCCACAUUGGGACUGAGAUACGGCCCAGACUCCAACGGGAGGCAGCAGUGGGGAAUAUUGCACAAUGGGCGGAAGCCUGAUGCAGCAACGCCGCGUGCGGGAUGACGGCCUUCGGGUUGUAAACCGCUUUCGCCUGUGAUGAAGCGUGAGUGACGGUAAUGGGUAAAGAAGCACCGGCUAACUACGUG
rnacentral:rRNA from 1 species